rnacentral:rRNA from 1 species
UACGGAGGGUGCAAGCGUUGUUCGGAAUUACUGGGCGUAAAGCGCGUGUAGGCGGGUCUUUAAGUCAGGGGUGAAAUGCCAAGGCUCAACCUUGGAACUGCCUUUGAUACUGGAGAUCUUGAGUCCGGGAGAGGUGAGUGGAACUGCGAGUGUAGAGGUGAAAUUCGUAGAUAUUCGCAAGAACACCAGUGGCGAAGGCGGCUUACUGGUCCGGUUCUGACGCUGAGGCGCGAAAGCGUGGGGAGCAAACAGG